rnacentral:tRNA from 1 species
GGGGCCAUAGCUCAUUUGGCUAGAGCACCUGCUUUGCACGCAGGGGGUGGUCGGUUCGAAUCCGACUGGCUCCA